rnacentral:rRNA from 1 species
AGCGAACGCUGGCGGCAGGCCUAACACAUGCAAGUCGAACGAACCUUUCGGGGUUAGUGGCGGACGGGUGAGUAACACGUGGGAACGUGCCUUUAGGUUCGGAAUAACUCAGGGAAACUUGUGCUAAUACCGAAUGUGCCCUUCGGGGGAAAGAUUUAUCGCCUUUAGAGCGGCCCGCGUCUGAUUAGCUAGUUGGUUGAGGUAAUGGCUCACCAAGGCGACGAUCAGUAGCUGGUCUGAGAGGAUGAUCAGCCACAUUGGGACUGAGACACGGCCCAAACUCCUACGGGAGGCAGCAGUGGGGAAUCGUGCGCAAUGGGCGAAAGACUGACGCAGCCAUGCCGCGUGAAUGAUGAAGGUCUUAGGAUUGUAAAAUUCUUUCACCGGGGACGAUAAUGACGGUACCCGGAGAAGAAGCCCCGGCUAACUUCGUG